rnacentral:lncRNA from 1 species
CUGCGAUUUUCUUCUUCUCUGGUACAAUCCACAAAUAUUUGAGAGAUAAAAGCAAAUAAUACCUUGAUUGCUUAUAAAAAUGAGAGGGCUAGAAGUGGACAUAAAAAACCAUAUAAGCAUCAAAAUAAAUUUCCAUUUCCCCACCUCAGCACAACAACCAAACAUAAAUGCUAUAGACAUCUCUCUAAAUUGCUUACAACCUAAAAAAAAAAAAAAAACAUUACACAUCCCAGCAUACAGCGACACAAGCUUCAAAUGUACAGAUGAUACAUCCGAAGAACAUAUAUCCAGCAUAACAAAAAACCAUGUCUGUUGACAAAAAAAACACACAUACACACACACAAAAAAAAUCUCAUGUUCUCGAUUUAUUGUCUUUUCUCCUUCGUGACUUACCCCGCUU